ensembl:lncRNA
GGAGACAUGUAAGAUGCCCUGUGAGAAAUCAGUCACACUCUAUUGAUGGUGUUUGAAUUUUUGAAUCAAAGCUUAUUAUUGCCCCUGGCUUUGUUAGUUCAUAGUGGUUAAACCACAACCCAAGAAUGAAAAAUAAAGAAUGUCAAUCAAAAAAUGGUGCAAUAUCUAAUGAGUGGGAGCAGGGAUUGAUAUUACUGUACAGACUUUUAGAGUUGGAGCUAAAACAUUUAUAACCGUAGAUAAAGUAAACUGAUAGCUUUAUUUCUGCCUCCACCUUCAAUGAAAGAGAAAAAAGGGGGUCAAGGAGGAGGCUGCGUCGAGAGUAUAUUUUCCAGGAGAGCCUUCAACAUUGGGGAGGAUCAGACUGAUCCCACCGAGAAGCUGGACAAGGAGAUACAGCACUGGACAGGGGUCCAGCCAUCCAGGACACCAGCUGUGACGAAACAGAAGAAGGCAAACAGGACUGUGGGGUGGAGAGGUGGUGUUGGCUGGGAGAAACUGCGGAGAGCAAUUUGAAGUCACUACUCAAGAUGUUGACUAAGACAGAACAAUUGAAGGUAGCAGAUACUGACCACUGCAAGGAGUCACACAAAACUGUGACUGACAUGAGUGAAGCACCGGACAGCCGUGAGGAGAGAGACAGUUCGGCAAUGGACGAUGGCUGUAAUGCUGAGGAUUUUGGUCCGAGGACAAUGGCUGAUAAGGGGGGGGACAAACAGCCCCUUUCAAAUAGGCAUAGCAAUGAAUUUUCCAGACCGAAAAUGGAUGAUGAAUGUCCACAAAGCUCUAAGGGCAGAAGCAGCUUGAUGUUGGACGAACACUUAUCAAGGGACACAAUGGAGCUGAGUCAUAGUAAAAAGGAGUUGGAGGUGUUGGAGGCAAUCACAAAUUUGUUACUGAACAACAGAGAGGACAGUACUACUGUUCACUGGGUGGAGUGGUGCAAGACUGCUGUUGAUGAUCUUGAGGGACCUCAGCUGGACAAUGGUCUACCAUGUCAACCCUACACUAUAGAGACAGUCAGUGGACGAGCUGAAACGGAAUAUGAAAUUUUCGCGAGAGGGAAGGAAGAACAGCGCUGUAGAACAAGUACUACAGAUAGUGGAAAGGAUUCUGGCAGAGGAUCUAUGUACAGUUUAGACAGCAUUUAGGAAUGUGUCAGUGACAGAGCUGCUUAAUACAGCACAAUCAUACUAUUAAAAUAAUUACUUAUGAUUUUGUUAUUAUUAUUAUUAUUAUUAUUAUUAUUAUUAUUAUUGUAUUUGGGUGUAUUGGGUUUGGGUGAUUUUUGGGUGUACACUCUUGGAACAAAUUAGACUUUCCCCCAUUAAAAAAAUGGUAUUUGUCCUUUCGGUUUACAGAUUUUUUUGCAGACGAAGGCUUUUCCAGGAGCAAAUUAAGUUGAUAAACCGAGCAAUUGGUGUAAUCACUAAUAUGAGCUUCCAGGAAUAUUAACUGAAAUUUGUAAUAUUGUUUUGUCUGAGCAAGAUUUUGGAAGUUUUGUUUGAGAGCAAGCCUGUGGUGUUAACGAAAACACGAAGAAUAUACCAUUGGUACCAUUAAGUUCCACAGAAC